rnacentral:rRNA from 1 species
GAUGAACGCUGGCUACAGGCUUAACACAUGCAAGUCGAGGGGCAGCAUUUCUUUAGCAAUAAAGAAGAUGGCGACCGGCGCACGGGUGAGUAACACGUAUCCAAUCUGCCUUUUACUCGGGGAUAGCCUUUCGAAAGAAAGAUUAAUACCCGAUGGUAUAUGAUUACUGCAUGUGUUAAGC